GAUGAAGAACGUAGCGAAAUGCGAUACUUGGUGUGAAUUGCAGAAUCCCGUGAACCAUCGAGUCUUUGAACGCAAGUUGCGCCCGAAGCCACUAGGCCGAGGGCACGCCUGCCUGGGCGUCACACGCCGUUGCCCCCCCAUCUACUCCUUCGGGAUUGCGGGGGGGCGGAUGAUGGCCUCCUGUGCGCUUAGCCGCGCGGUUGGCAUAAAUACCAAGUCCUCGGCGACGCACGCCACGACAAUCGGUGGUUGCGAAACCUCGGUUGCCCGUCGUGUGCGUUCGUCGCGCAUCGAGGGCUCGAAAAAAUGCUCGGCUCCGGCUGGGCUUUCAACGCGACCCCAGGUCAGGCGGGGUUACCCGCUGAAUUUAAGCAUAUCAAUAAGCGGAGGA
rnacentral:misc_RNA from 1 species